GUAAGGAAUAUUGGACAAUGGACGCAAGUCUGAUCCAGCCAUGCCACGUGAAGGAUUAAGGUCCUCUGGAUUGUAAACUUCUUUUAUAAGGGACGAAAAAAGGCUUUUCUAAGUCGUCUGACGGUACCUUAUGAAUAAGCACCGGCUAACUCCGUGCCAGCAGCCGCGGUAAUACGGAGGGUGCAAGCGUUAUCCGGAUUCACUGGGUUUAAAGGGUGCGUAGGCGGGCAGGUAAGUCAGUGGUGAAAUCCUAGAGCUUAACUCUAGAACUGCCAUUGAUACUAUCUGUCUUGAAUAUUGUGGAGGUAAGCGGAAGAUGUCAUGUAGCGGUGAAAUGCUUAGAUAUGACAUAGAACACCUAUUGCGAAGGCAGCUUACUACGCAUAUAUUGACGCUGAGGCACGAAAGCGUGGGGAUCAAACAGGAUUAGAUACCCGUGUAGUCC
rnacentral:rRNA from 1 species